rnacentral:rRNA from 1 species
AUUGAACGCUGGCGGCAUGCCUCACACAUGCAAGUCGAACGGUAACAGGUCUUCGGAUGCUGACGAGUGGCGAACGGGCGAGUAAUACAUCGGAACGUGCCCGAGAGUGGGGGAUAACGAGGCGAAAGCUUUGCUAAUACCGCAUACGAUCUCAGGAUGAAAGCAGGGGACCGCAAGGCCUUGCGCUCACGGAGCGGCCGAUGGCAGAUUAGGUAGUUGGUGGGAUAAAAGCUUACCAAGCCGACGAUCUGUAGCUGGUCUGAGAGGACGACCAGCCACACUGGGACUGAGACACGGCCCAGACUCCUACGGGAGGCAGCAGUGGGGAAUUUUGGACAAUGGGCGCAAGCCUGAUCCAGCCAUGCCGCGUGCAGGAUGAAGGCCUUCGGGUUGUAAACUGCUUUUGUACGGAACGAAAAGACUCUGGUUAAUACCUGGGGUCCAUGACGGUACCGUAAGAAUAAGCACCGGCUAACUACGUGCCAGCCGCCGCCGUAACAC